UUGAAAAGAACUUUGAAGAGAGAGUUCAAGAGUACGUGAAACCGUUCAGGGGUAAACCUAAGAAACCCAAAAGAUCGAACGGGGAGAUUCAUCGUCAGCGACGCUGGCUUCACGUCGGUGGGCGAUGCGGCGCGGGGCCUCGCGGCUCGCGCGCUCGCACGCUGCCGCGCGUCGAUGUCCGGCGUUCGUCGUCGUGCACUUCUCCCCUAAGUAGAACGUCGCGACCCGCUGGGUGUCGGUCUACGGCCCGGGUGCGGUGUCUGACGCGUCGCCGGUAAAACGGCACGCGUCAAACCCCCGGUCGCCCGGCCGGCUGCCCGGCGGUACACGCAAGGUAUCAGGCCGCAGCUCUCACGCGCGCGCCUCUCAGCCCCCUCUCCGGAGGGGACGCGGGGGUGUCGCGU
rnacentral:rRNA from 1 species